AUGAACGCUGGCGGCGUGCCUAAUACAUGCAAGUCGCGCGAACAGACGAGGAGCUUGCUCCUCUGACGUUAGCGGCGGACGGGUGAGUAACACGUGGAUAACCUACCUAUAAGACUGGGAUAACUUCGGGAAACCGGAGCUAAUACCGGAUAAUAUAUUGAACCGCAUGGUUCAAUAGUGAAAGACGGUUUUGCUGUCACUUAUAGAUGGAUCCGCGCCGCAUUAGCUAGUUGGUAAGGUAACGGCUUACCAAGGCAACGAUGCGUAGCCGACCUGAGAGGGUGAUCGGCCACACUGGAACUGAGACACGGUCCAGACUCCUACGGGAGGCAGCAGUGGGGAAUCUUCCGCAAUGGGCGAAAGCCUGACGGAGCAACGCCGCGUGAGUGAUGAAGGUCUUCGGAUCGUAAAACUCUGUUAUUAGGGAAGAACAAAUGUGUAAGUAACUAUGCACGUCUUGACGGUACCUAAUCAGAAAGCCACGGCUAACUACGUG
rnacentral:rRNA from 1 species